CUUUCAUAUCAGAAAAGAGGAACCAGUCUGUUGCAAAUGUGAGUUUAAGACAAACGCACAACUUUGCUCACGAUUCUCGACUUUGGCGUCUCGAGCGGUCAUGAUGGUGAACAACACUUGUGUCCCUGUAAACGGCACCGCAUGUGUUGCCCCUAAUUCUCCCGUAGGUCUCGCGGUGGGCCUGACGCUCUUGUUUCUGAUGCUGGUUGCCAUCGCUGUUACGGUCAUGGUCAAACUCUGGAAGAAGAAAUGGAGUCAGACACUAUCUGGUCAAAGAAAAAGCCAAAAGAAGGACUCUCCGGCGACUCCCCAGUGGGACCAUCAGUAUACCAGCAUGGUCACAACAAAGUCAACCAAGAAUGCCCCCAUCUAUGAAAACUUGAGGAGUCAGAAAAGCUGCGCCGGCCCUCAGAGCAGGCCACCUUGUGAACCCGCCGAGGAUUUGUACUUGCAGUGCGUUUUAGCCGAUGAUGCAAUAUACAGCAACGAUCCUGCGUGUAACCUCUCCAUUCUCCCGGACUCCCGAGAUGACGACAUCUAUAUUGUUCCACAAU